ensembl:lncRNA
UCCAAUGAGUUGGUUUCUUAUGAGAAACCAACUGCCUCAACGGAUAUAUUAUCAAAUACAUACGUUAAAAACACCUUGAGGAUGGAUACUAAACAACGUUUGCCGUGUUUCUGUCGAUAUUAUGGAGUUAAUUUUGAAAAAAGUUUGGCGUUGUAAUGGUAGCAUUUUCCGGUCGAUUUCUCAGCCAAGCAUAAUGAACAAACGGGAUACAGUUAUGUGGAUAUAUUGAAGCAACAUCUCAAGACAUCAGUCAAGAAGUUAAAGGUUGGUCUCAAAAGGGUCUUCAAAAUGGACAAUGACCCCAAGCAUACUUCCAAAGUUGUGGCAAAAUGGCCUAAGGACAGCAAAGUCAAGGUAUUGGAGUGGCCAUCACAAAGCCCUGACCUCAAUCCUAUAGAAAAUGUGUGGGCAUUACAGAAUAGCAUGUGCGAGCAAGGAGGCCUACAAACCUGACUCAGUUACACCAGCUCUGUUAGGAGGAAUGGGCCAAAAUUCCCCCAACUUAUUGUGGGAAGCUUGUGGAAGGCUACCCCGAAACGUUUGACCCAAAUUAACCUCUCUAGGGUAGGGGGCAGCAUUAGGAAUUUUGGAUGAAAAGUAAGCCCAAAUCAAAUGGCCUGCUACUCGAAACCAGAAGAUAUGAUAUGCAGAUAACAUAUAAUUUGGAUAGAAAACACUAAAGUUUCCAAAACGGUUAAAAUAGUGUCUGUGAGUAUAACAGAAAAGAUUUAGCAGGCGAAAACCUGAGAAAAAUCCAUACAGGAAGUCGUUGUUUUUUCCCAGUUUUGUAGUUUUCUAUUCAAUGCCAUUACAGUAUCCAUUGACUUAGGUCUCCAUUUGCAGUUCCUAUGCAUUCCACUAGAUGUCAACAGUCAUUAGAAAUCGUUUCAGGCUUGUAUUCUUAUAAAUGAGGGAGUAAGACCAGUCUGAACGAGUGGACGCUAACGUGUCAGAGUUUUUUGAGGCGCAUGUGCAUUUCUUGUUUACCUUUUAUAUUGAUGACGUUGUUGUCCGGUUGAAAUAUUAUAGAUCAUUUAGGCUAAAAAAACAUCCUGAGGAUUGAAUACAUCGUUUGAUAUGUUUCUAUGAACCAUUUGGAUUUUUUGUCUAAUUGUUUUGACUGAGUUUGAGCCUGUGGAUUACUGAAGAAAACGCUUUAACAAAGGUUUUUGGAUAUAAAGAGACUUCAUUGAACAAAAGGAACAUUUAUUGAGUAAAUUCAUGUCUUCUGAUUGCCACCAUAUGAAGAUCAUCAAAGAUUUUGUCAGACAGGGACUUCGCACCUAUGGAUGAUUUUGCCUUUAUUGGAGCACACUUCAUAACACCUGCCUUCAUCCACGGUCGGAAGCAGUUGCCAGGGAAAGAGGUAGAGCAGUCAAGAGUGAAAUCAGUGGAUUCCCAUAGAGAGGGUGAUAGCCACAUAACCUGCCCCUGGUUAAGAACCUGAAGGAUGAGAGUGAAGACAAAGAAGAGGCAACACUCGUCAAAAUCAACAAGACUGGCAGUGUGGUUAAACUGCAAUACCACUGCCUGCCCUACUGCAGCUGACGCCUGCCCUCCUGCUGCUGCCUGCACUGCUGAUGCCUGCCACACUGCUGCUGAUUCCUGUGCUACUGUUGCCUGUACUGCUGAUGCCUACCCUGCUGAUGCCUACCCUGGUGCUGCCUGCCAUCCUGCCUGCAUUGCCAUUACCACUGGGUUGUAGGGAUACUUGUCAACCACAAUCGUGUCAACCACAAUCUGCUCGUGAUGCUUGCCCCAGAGUGUCCAUGGCUACUUCACCUCCCUGUUCCUCUGAUGGCAGAUUCUGUUGAUAAGGGAUUGCGAUGGAUUAUCAUUAGAGGUGUAUAUUACACGGACCAUGCCUCAGGAAUACCUGGCCUGAUGACUCCUUGCUGUCCCCAGUCCACCUGGCUGUGCUGCUGCUCCAGUUCAAACUGUUUUGCCGGUGGCUAUGGAACCCUGACCUGUUCACCGGGUGUGCU